GACGAACGCUGGCGGCGUGCUUAACACAUGCAAGUCGAACGGAAAGGCCCCUUUGGGGGUACUCGAGUGGCGAACGGGGGAGUAACACGUGAGUAACCUGCCCUUGACUUCGGGAUAACUUCAGGAAACUGGGGCUAAUACCGGAUAGGAAUCCUUGCUGCAUGGUGGGGGUUGGAAAGCUUCGGCGGUUUUGGAUGGACUCGCGGCUUAUCAGCUUGUUGGUGGGGUAGUGGCUUACCAAGGCAUUGACGGGUAGCCGGCCUGAGAGGGCGACCGGCCACAUUGGGACUGAGAUACGGCCCAGGCUCCUACGGGAGGCAGCAGUGGGGAAUAUUGCACCAUGGGCGGAAGCCUGAUGCAGCAACGCCGCGUGCGGGAUGACGGCCUUCGGGUUGUAAACCGCUUUCAGCAGGGGCGAAGCUUGUGGUGACGGUACCUGCAGAAGAAGCACCGGCUAACUACGUG
rnacentral:rRNA from 1 species